CUUCUCUAUAGCCUCCGCCACUGACCCUCGGAAACGGUUCCGGAUCCAAGGAGCAUUCACUGCCACUGAGCUUGGGCUCGCCAAACACUCACAUCCAGCUGAUGCACUGCAAAGGUCCUACCGCCACCUGCGAAGUCUUCCACUUCAUUCGUUUCACCAAGCUCAGCCAUUAUUGCUGAUUGGCUCUGACUACCCACAUCUCCUGACUCCAGUAGAGCCUGUACAUCUGGGACCACGGGGAGGACCAGCUGCACUCAAGACACGGCUGGGUUGGACUCUGCAAGGUCCAGCCAAGGUUCUUCUACAUCAAGCCUCCACUCCUCAGUGUCUACUCACAAGCACCCUGACUCCCAGUGCUGAACUUCUCAGGAAUGUAGCCAAGCUCUGGCAGAUGGAUGUUCUCCCAUACCAGAAUGAGAAAGUGGCCACACGUUCAAAACAGGAUACCAUGGCUGUCAAGACGCUAGAGGAGAAGACCAUUAGAGUGGAGGUGGAUAGUAUCAACCGAUAUGCCACCCCGUUGCUGUGGAAAGAGGAACCAGUCCCGCUUCAUUCCACUAAGGACUCUGUCCUGGGUCACCUGCGAGCCACAGAGAAGCGCCUCCUGAAGGAGCCUGUCCGAGCAGCCACCUAUAACCAGGAAAUUCAGAAGCUGGUGGAUGCAGGCUAUGUGAGUAAACUGACCAGUGCAGACAUGGAGAGAGAUGACAGCACCUGGUACAUACCACACCACAUGGUUCAUCAUAAUGGAAAGGAUCGCAUUGUCUUCAACUGUUCUUUUGUGCACAGUGGAACCAGCCUGAAUCAGCAUCUCCUAGCUGGUCCUACCCUAGGCUCGACGCUCCUGGGUGUGUUACUUCGCUUCCGGGAGUAUCCCAUUGCGGUGAGCAGUGACAUCAAGGGGAUGUUUCAUCAGGUCCGCCUCUUGACUCAGGACAAGCCUUUCCUCCGUUUCCUCUGGAGAGAUAUGGAUCGCACGAGGCAACCAGAUGUCUACGAAUGGCAGGUGUUGCCUUUCGGGACGACAUGCAGCCCCUGCUGUGCCACCUAUGCUCUGCAGCGGCACGUUCUGGAUCACAGCAGCCCCAGCGAAGAUACCCGUCACACAGUGGAGAAAUGUUUCUAUGUUGACAAUCUCCUCCAGAGCUUUGCAUCAUUUCCCGAAGCCCAGCAACUGGUUAACAAAAUCCAGCAGUUG
ensembl:lncRNA